rnacentral:rRNA from 1 species
UGCGGGUUACCCCACCGACUUCGGGUGUUGUAAACUCUCGUGGUGUGACGGGCGGUGUGUACAAGACCCGGGAACGUAUUCACCGCGGCAUGCUGAUCCGCGAUUACUAGCAAUUCCGACUUCAUGCAGGCGAGUUGCAGCCUGCAAUCCGAACUGAGACCGGCUUUGCUGGGAUUGGCUCCACCUCGCGGUUUCGCUUCCCGUUGUACCGGCCAUUGUAGUACGUGUGUAGCCCAGGUCAUAAGGGGCAUGAUGAUUUGACGUCAUCCCCACCUUCCUCCGGUUUGUCACCGGCAGUCACUCUAGAGUGCCCAGCUUUACCUGCUGGCAACUAAAGUCAAGGGUUGCGCUCGUUGCGGGACUUAACCCAACAUCUCACGACACGAGCUGACGACAACCAUGCACCACCUGUCUCCGAUGCUCCGAAGAGGGGCACUAUCUCUAAUGCUUUCAUCGGGAUGUCAAGACCUGGUAAGGUUCUUCGCGNUGCUUCGAAUUAAACCACAUACUCCACUGCUUGUGCGGGUCCCCGUCUAUUCCUUUGAGUUUCAGUCUUGCGACCGUACUCCCCAUGCGGAGUGCUUACUGUGUUAACUUCGGACCUAGGGUAUCCGAAACCCCCUUACCCCUAGCACUCAUCGUUUACGGCGUAGGACUU